GACAGAGGAUGCAAGCGUUAUCCGGAAUGAUUGGGCGUAAAGCGUCUGUAGGUGGUUUAGAAAGUCUACUGUCAAAUACCAAGGCUCAACCUUGGGCAGGCAGUAGAGUACUUUUAGACUAGAGUGUGGUAGAGGUAGAGGGAAUCCCUAGCGUAACAGUGAAAUGUGUAGAUUUUAGGGAGGAACACCAGCGGCGAAGGCGCUCUACUGGGCCAAGACUGACACUGAGAGACGAAAGCUAGGGGAGCGAAUAGG
rnacentral:rRNA from 1 species